rnacentral:rRNA from 1 species
UACAGAGGUCCCAAGCGUUGUUCGGAUUUACUGGGCGUAAAGGGCGCGUAGGCGGCCACCGCAAGUCGACUGUGAAAUCUCCGGGCUUAACCCGGAAAGGUCAGCCGAUACUGCGGGGCUAGAGUGCAGAAGGGGCAACUGGAAUCUACGGUGUAGCGGUGAAAUGCGUAGAUAUCGAGAGGAACACCUGCGGCGAAGGCGGGUUGCUGGGCUGACACUGACGCUGAUGCGCGAAAGCUAGGGGGAGCGAACGGG